rnacentral:rRNA from 1 species
UUUAGGAGGGGCGAAGCUCCUCUUAUUGUGAGGGCGAGUUAUAUAACACCAUAGGACUGGCCGUCCCAUAUGAAAAGAUUAUAUUAGAAUUGAAUGAAGCUUUGUUUAUAUAUUGAUAAUGACAGUAUAUAUAUCGUGUCUUGACUAAUUGCGUGCCAGCAGUCGCGGUAAUACGUAAGAGACUAGUGUUAUUCAUCUUAAUUAGGUUUAAAGGGUACCCAGACGGUCAAUAUAGCUUAUAAAAUGUUAGUACUUGACUAGAGUUUUAUGUAAGAGGGCAGUACUUGAGGAGGAGAGAUGAAAUUUCGUGAUACCAAAGGGACUCUGUAAAGGCGAAGGCAGCCCUCUAUGUAAAAACUGACGUUGAAGGACGAAGGCACAGAGAACAAACAGGAUUAGAUACCCAAGUAGUCUUUGCAGUAAAUGAUGAAUGCCAUAGGUAGGAUGGGUGGGCUCGUCUAGUUGAGUUAGUUUAGCAAACUAAUGAUCUAGACGAGCCCACCGUAUAUUUGGUCUAUAAAUGAAAGUGUAAGCAUUUCACCUCAAGAGUAAUGUGGCAACGC